UUAAAAAGCUCGUAGUUGGAUUUCUGUGGGGACGGAGCGGCCGGCCGCUACUAGCGGUUCGAGCUAGCGCUUUCCCUACAUCCUGCCGCGAACCGCGCUACCAUUAGUUCGGUGGCGCCGGGGUUCGGCUCGUUUACUUUGAGAAAAAUAGAGUGUUCAAAGCAGGCCACACGCCUUGAAUAAGUUAGCAUGGAAUAAUAACUAAGGACUUCGGUUCUAUUUUGUUGGUGUUCGGGACUGAAAGUAAUGAUUGAUAGGGACAGUUGGGGCGGUCCGUAUUCCAAAGCGAGA
rnacentral:rRNA from 1 species